UGUGAGGCUGUGCCGGCUGCGGGUGUAAGACGUGGGGUGCAGGCGUUUGUCGUAAUGAGGUGGCGGAAAGGGCGUGUCGGCGGUUGGUCAAUUCUGGUGGGAAAGCUCGGGGCUCAGCUCCAGAAGUGCGGUCGAUACUAGCCAGCUAGAGCGCGGUAGAGGAGAGGGGAAUUCCUGGUGUAGGUGUGAAAUGCGUAGAUAUCGGGAGGAACACCAGCGGCGAAUGCGGCCCUCUGGUUCGUUGCUGACGCUUAGACGCGAAAGCGUGGGGAGCAAACAGGAUUAGAUACCCUAGUAGUC
rnacentral:rRNA from 1 species